GAGGGCUGCAGUCUAGAGAAGACGAAACCAAUCUUUCCUAGUUCUCUUGAUGCUAUAAAGGCAGCCCUGUCAACAUUAGAUGAUUGGCAGCUACAGUUUGAAGAUGGAGAAACUGAGGCAAUGUGCAUUUAACUUGCUCAAGAUUCUUGCUGUCAAGUGUCCAUGGUGAUUCUCAUCUGCCCCAAAAAUCAAUGCCUUGUUCAGCUACCAUUAACGAAGGUUCAUCCAGAAGCAGCUGAAAACAAAUAUAGAGACC